CUUUUUAAAAGUGCUGCGGUACCAUUUGGAUCUCCGCUUAUGCAAUAAAUUGUACCCGCCUUCGUAAGCUGACUGCUGCUCCAGCUCGAGUGUUCGAUUGUCCAGAAUUCUUCUUAUGCUCUUUCCCCGCGCUGCUAAAGCUCUUUCUUUAGUUCGCUCAAAAAGGAGACAUCUUUAGUCCGUCAAUGACGUCAAAUUCCCUCUCUUUAAAUCCUUCUGAACUCAUUCCGCGCUGCUGAGUUUGUUCGUUGCAUCAUGUUUCCAUGAACUUGGUCGGGAGAAGAUCAAUUGGCUCUUGGCCCAAUUUGAGACAUGAAACCGAAUCCAAAGUCCUCGCUCUGUGCAACCUCGGCCAGCUCAGAGAAGCGCUUGAAACCUUACACUCGUACCGGAACCCACUGGCUUCUUCCAUUUACUCGAAUCUUUUGCAGGUUUGUGUCGACACCAACGCCAAAAAAGAAGGAAAAUUCCUCUAUGACCAUCUUUUUGCUCGUGGAUAUCUUCCAAACCUUCACCUGAACACCAAAUUUAUCAUCUUUUUCGCUAAUGCUGGAGAAUUGGUUUUGGCUCGAAACGUAUUUGAUGGAAUGCCAGAACCAGAUGUGGUCUCUUGGACUGCAUUAAUCUCGGGAUACUCGCAAAAUGGGUUCUUGUAUGAGGCCCUUGACAUAUUUGUUUUGAUGCAUAGGUGGUGUAACAAGGCCAACCAGUUUACUUAUUCAAGUGUUAUCAGGGCAUGCACUGCUACCCGUUGCAUUAGAAGCGGAUUGCAGAUUCAAGGUUGCGUUGAGAAGAGCAGAUUUAGGCAGAAUUUGUAUGUGAAUGGUGCUCUUGUGGAUUUUCACUUGAAAUGUGGAAUGCUUGAGGAUGCUUGGAGUUUGUUUUGGGGAAUGGAGGAUAGAGAUGUUGUGCUGUGGAAUUCCAUGAUUGGGGGGCAUUUAGUUCGUGGUUUGGCCGAUGAUUCGUUCAAAUUGUUUAUCUCAAUGUUGGAAGAAGGUAAGUUUCCAGACCAUUUCACAUUUGCAAGCAUCCUGAAGGCAUGUGGUUUAAGAAAGGAUUUCUUAAAUGCUGAUAAGAUGCAUUCCUUGGUUAUCAAAUCAGGGUGUUCAAGUCAUUAUGCCGUCUCUGGAUCACUUAUUGAUGCGUAUGUCAAAUGCAAGAGAAUGUGUAGUGCCAGGUUGCUUUAUGACUCUUUGCCUGAGCAGGACCUUUUUUCCUGCACUGCCUUGAUCACUGGAUAUUCAACAGAUGGAAGUUUUAGCAGGGAUGCACUGAAGCUUUACUGCAAAUUCAACCAAACAGGCAUGAAAAUUGAUGAUGUUAUCCUAUGCUCCAUGCUUAAUGUUAGUGCCAAUGAAGCUUCGCUGGACCUCGGAAGGCAGAUUCAUGCUUGUACAGUGAAAAAUCAAUCUAACCAUGAUUUGGCUUUGCACAAUGCCCUUGUUGAUAUGUAUGCCAAAUCUGGAGAGCUCCAAGAUGCCCAUCUUGCUUUUGAUGAGAUAAAAAAUAAAAAUGUGAUUUCAUGGACUUCUUUGAUUACUGGUUAUGGUAAACAUGGCCAGGGUGAAGAUGCAGUGAUGCUCUUUAAUAAGAUGGAGGAUAAUGGGGUGAAACCAAAUGAUGUUACAUUUCUUUCCCUUAUCUCUGCAUGUAGUCAUACUGGUCUCGCAAGAAAAGGAAUGAAUUUUUUUGAUUUGAUGGUCAACAAAUAUGCCAUCCAACCUAGAUCCGAACAUUACUCUUGUGUUGUUGAUCUUCUUGGACGUGAAGGUCUUAUUAAUGAAGCUUAUAAUUUUGUAAAGACAAUGAAUUUUAAACCCAACAUAUCAAUUUGGAGUGCUAUGCUUGGGGCUUGUAGGAUACAUGACAAUAAGUCUAUUGGAGAAGUUGCUGCUGGUAAUCUUCUAGCCUUUUAUCCUCAGAAAUCAGUAAACUAUGUUGUCCUUGCUAAUAUAUAUGCAGCAGCUAGUUUGUGGGAGAAUGCAUGGAAGACAAGGAACUUAAUGGAACAAAAAUCGAUUCAAAAAGACAGAGGAUGCAGCUCUAUUUACCUUGUUGGGAAUGCGCUGUUGUAAAACUUCACCCUUGAGGGUAUGAUUCAAAAAAACCAUGGAUUCAAUGUUUCCCUUCUUGUUGCCUGGUCUCAAAAUGUUACAGUGUAGAUUCUCUUUUCUCUACAUGCAACAAUUGGUUGAAGAAAUAACUAUUGGUGCUAGUUUAUUCAAAAUUGCAUGGAGGACAAUAAAGUUAAUGGACAGAAAAUCAAGAGAGAUCCAAGACGUGCCUCUAUCUACCUUCCGGAGCAUGUGCUCUUGUAAAUCUCACCUCGAGGGUCAAUGCUUCAGUGUUCGUUCCCACGCAACAGAAUGUUAGACGGCGAAUUCUCUCCUCUCUACAUCCAAAAAUGUGUUGAAGAGAUGAUUGUUCUUGUUCUCUGACAUCCAUUGACAUCCUUGCUGUUACCGACUUCAUCAUCGACACCUCAAUGAUAUACAAUGCGUUAAUUGGUUUUACACUCUUCGACACUUCGAAGCAGCAAUGUCAACCUAUCAUUUAGCCAUGAUGUUGUCUGCAUGAGGACACAAUCACUAUUUGCGAGAGUUUACAACAAUUAUGGGCAUAUUAUCUGAAGACAAAUGGUGCUGGUCUCAAAAUCCUUAAGGCAAUCAAGGAAGUUGCUUUCUUUGAAGAAUAUGAAACCUGCACUGUAUGAAUCAACACAUUCUCUAAUAUUGAGCAUUAGGGUGAACCAACCAAUAUUCUGGGUACUAAUUCUGAUGUGUUUGCUUGGUCUUCUAUUGGAGAUGUUGAUGAUAACCAACCUAUAUGUGUAUGUUUUGAA